AGUGAACGCUGGCGGUAGGCCUAACACAUGCAAGUCGAACGGCAGCACAGUAAGAGCUUGCUCUUACGGGUGGCGAGUGGCGGACGGGUGAGGAAUACAUCGGAAUCUACUUUUUCGUGGGGGAUAACGUAGGGAAACUUACGCUAAUACCGCAUACGACCUACGGGUGAAAGCAGGGGAUCUUCGGACCUUGCGCGAUUGAAUGAGCCGAUGUCGGAUUAGCUAGUUGGCGGGGUAAAGGCCCACCAGGGCGACGAUCCGUAGCUGGUCUGAGAGGCUGGUCAGCCACACUAGAACUGAGACACGGUCCAGGCGCCUACGGGAGGCAGCAGUGGGGAAUAUUGGACAAUGGGCGCAAGCCUGAUCCAGCCAUACCGCGUGGGUGAAGAAGGCCUUCGGUUUGUAAAGCCCUUUUGUUGGGAAAGAAAAGCAGCAGGUUAAUACCCCGCUGUUCUGACGGUACCCAAAGAAUAAGCACCGGCUAACUUCGUG
rnacentral:rRNA from 1 species